rnacentral:antisense_RNA from 1 species
CUCACCUGUUCUUUCUGAGACAAGUCAUCUGCCAGGUUUCCGCCUCGGGACACCCAAGCUCAACACAGACAGCCUAGCAGCCUGGGUGACAGGAUCCCGGGGGACAGGAUUCUCUCCUUGCCAUGGGGAUGAGGACAAAUUCUCCCUUCCUCCUUGAGAUUGGACUCCCGCCACACAUCCUGGAGGAGCCUACAGAGAAGCCGGCAGGUCUCCCUCACCUGGAUGGUGGCAGUGGGGGGCCUGGACCACCCAGAGGCCCUCCCCUGCACCUGACGGGAAGCCCCUGGGGCAUAAGUCUCCCCUGCCACUUCCACUGUGGUCACUAGAAGUGUGGCGGAGAAAAUCGCUAGGACAAAAAGAAGUCAAUGAUUUCAACCAGUGGAAUUUCUUUGUCCUUUGUAAAAGUCAACACAUGAUCUGUUACUGAUUGGGAUGUGAAAUAAAACUAAAAAUAACAGCACACUGAGCCUGGCUCAGGGCUCAGCUCACCUUUA